rnacentral:rRNA from 1 species
UACGUAGGGUGCGAGCGUUGUCCGGAAUUAUUGGGCGUAAAGGGCUCGUAGGCGGUUUGUCGCGUCGGGAGUGAAAACCAGGUGCUUAACACCUGGCUUGCUUUCGAUACGGGCAGACUAGAGGCAUGCCAGGGGAGAACGGAAUUCCUGGUGGUAGCGGUGGAAUGCGCAGAUAUCAGGAGGAACACCAAUGGCGAAGGCAGAUCUCUGGGCCGUAACUGACGCUGAGGAGCGAAAGCAUGGGGAGCGAACAGG